AUUGAACGCUAGCGGGAUGCCUUACACAUGCAAUUCGAACGGAGUGGCGUACGGGUGAGUAAUGUAUCGGCACGUGCCCAGUAGCGGGGGAUAACUACGCGAAAGCGUCGCUCAUACCGCAUACUCUUGGAGCGGCCGCUAUCGGCUGAGCUAGUUGGUGGGGUAACGGCUCACCCAGGCGACGAUCCGUAGCUGGUUUGAGAGGCCGACCAGCCACACUGGGACGGAGACAGGGUCCAGACUCCUACGGGAGGCAGCAGGGGGGAAUUUUGGACAAGGGGGGAAACCCUGAUCCAGCCAUCCCGCGUGUGCGAUGAAGGCCUUCGGGUUGUAAAGCACUUUUGGCAGGAAAGCGGUACCUGCAGAAUAAGCACCGGCUAACUACGUGCCAGCAGCCGCGGUAAUAC
rnacentral:rRNA from 1 species